rnacentral:lncRNA from 1 species
UUUGAUUGUUAAUUAUUACAACGAAUCCAAAUGUGGCUAGGUUUCUGUACCGUCUAUCCUAGUAUCCUCUGUUUCAGGAUGCCACCGUACUAUUGUGCGUGGUUUUAAGUUUUAAAUUAAAAUGCUUAGCAGUGGAUAGUCAUCUAAAUGUUGGGUCAUUCUUCUGCUCUUUAUCAGUUUCUAAAGAACCGUUCACUCAUCAAGUAAGCCAUCACAAUGCAAAAUAAUGUGCAAGGCAAUAGAGUCAUGCUUAUCAAGAGGAUAGGACAUGCUUGUGUCUGCGUUUAAGAGAAUUAUUUUCUCCUUUCAUUUCUGAGGAGAGCAGUCACCUGUCUUAUGCCUUUUGCACAUGCCUUGAGUUACAAAUUAUUUGAGGUCUAUUUGUCCAAUAUUGCAUUUGUGCAAUUUUCUCAAUGCUGUUAGUUUUUUUUUUCCUAGAGUUUGUGUAAUUUAUUGUAGUUCUUCUCUCAUUACUAUGUAGUUUUUGGAGUCUCUACUGAAAUUUUCCUUCCUUCUUUUUCAUUAGGUCAUCAGAUAGUCUCACAGACACCGACAGUGAUGGUAAAAGUGAUAGUAGCAGUGAAGAUGAUGUUCUUCAUGUUGAAGGAAAAGACCGGAAACAAAAAGAACCUUCUCGGAUAGCAGGUACUGUCCCAUUUGAUGAUUGUUGUCUCAUUUUUAUAAUGACGAAGAUUACCCUAAUAUGAUAUUCUAUAUAUCAUUUAAUUUUCUUUAUUUUAGAUAUUUAAUUAUCGGUUUUCCUUGUACUAGGGUUCUUUAAAAUGAAUCAUGGCACAGAAUGUUCAAGUAGAGCUAAAAUUAUUUAUCAUUUUGUGAGCUUUCAAAAAUAUAUAAGAAUACGCUGCAUGUAGUUCUGUGCUAUUGCGAUCUAAUACCAGUGUCCUUUUAAAAAAAAAAAAUUCAAUUCGAGCUUCUGCUGUACGGCCAAGGCGGAUGUACGGUACAGCAGAUUUCUCUGUUGAACUGUGAAUCUUGCAGAUCAAGUGGAUUUGCCCUACUGCUCCCACUAGGCCGGUUGCAAUAUUUGGUGGAUAUCCUUGUACUGCUUGUAAGAUUUUGUUGCUUUGGAUUGCUUUGAUUAUCUCUAUUUUAGGAAUCAAUUCUUAGGAAAACUUUCAUUUUCAGCUACUGCCAAAUCAAAAUCAUCUGACAAUGAUUUUAAUAUCCUUUCAAAAAGAAUUUAAUGUGCUUAGUUGAUAAUUUUGCUAUUUUUAUUUUAAGGGUUUGACGUGGGAGAUCUUUCAGAAGAUGGUCCUGAUGAUUUGGAGGGGUUAGAUGCUUCAGCAGCACAUGUGGCCAAUCUUUUGUCGACAGAACCUGCUGACAGUAAGUUCCUCUCUUGGUCCUGUAAGAAUAAAUAUUGUAGAAACUAGUUCCGACGGGAUCACUGGAAAGUAACAAAAUUCUUUCCUGAAGCGUAUGAAUAGAUUAAACUGUUCCAAGCCUUUUGACCACUUUGAGACUUGUCACCUUUUUCGUGUUGGAAAGAAAAGUGGCGAAUGUUAAGAUUUUCUAAUUCUUCUCUCUUCAAUAGUUUAUUUUUUCUUUCCAUGGCUUUCCCGUAUACAAAUGAUUUUAUUUUAUUUUAUUUUUAAUUAUUUAUAUCUGCUGUACGGCCAAGGCGGAUGUACGGUACAGCAGUAAGUUUUAAAUUAAAAUGCUUAGCAGUGGAUAGUCAUCUAAAUGUUGGGUCAUUCUUCUGCUCUUUAUCAGUUUCUAAAGAACCGUUCACUCAUCAAGUAAGCCAUCACAAUGCAAAAUAAUGUGCAAGGCAAUAGAGUCAUGCUUAUCAAGAGGAUAGGACAUGCUUGUGUCUGCGUUUAAGAGAAUUAUUUUCUCCUUUCAUUUCUGAGGAGAGCAGUCACCUGUCUUAUGCCUUUUGCACAUGCCUUGAGUUACAAAUUAUUUGAGGUCUAUUUGUCCAAUAUUGCAUUUGUGCAAUUUUCUCAAUGCUGUUAGUUUUUUUUUUCCUAGAGUUUGUGUAAUUUAUUGUAGUUCUUCUCUCAUUACUAUGUAGUUUUUGGAGUCUCUACUGAAAUUUUCCUUCCUUCUUUUUCAUUAGGUCAUCAGAUAGUCUCACAGACACCGACAGUGAUGGUAAAAGUGAUAGUAGCAG